AGAUUUGGGAGUGCUCGCAAGAGAACCGGAACACAGGUGCUGCAUGGCUGUCGUCAGCUCGUGUCGUGAGAUGUUGGGUUAAGUCCCGCAACGAGCGCAACCCUUGUCAUUAGUUGCCAUCAUUUGGUUGGGCACUCUAAUGAGACUGCCGGUGACAAACCGGAGGAAGGUGGGGAUGACGUCAAGUCCUCAUGGCCCUUAUAGGUGGGGCUACACACGUCAUACAAUGGCUGGUACAAAGGGUUGCCAACCCGCGAGGGGGAGCCAAUCCCAUAAAGCCAGUCGUAGUCCGGAUCGCAGUCUGCAACUCGACUGCGUGAAGUCGGAAUCGCUAGUAAUCGUGGAUCAGCAUGUCACGGUGAAUACGUUCCCGGGUCUU
rnacentral:rRNA from 1 species